ACCAAUUGUUGGGGCACCUUUCCCAAGUUGUGGACUUCUAGAAUCAGUAGGAAUUAAUGAGGACUAGGCUUUUGGAUGGCCAAGAUCAGUAACACAAAAUCAGCUUUGCAGAUUUCAGCAGUCUUGUAAAUCCUGUCGGUAUGAUUUUUUUCUCCAAUUCGAAUCUUUUUCCUUUCAGAUCUAAAAUUCUCUCUCUCAGAUUUGGAAGAACCCUUGAUGAGGCCUUCAAAAAAUAAAAGAUGGG
rnacentral:lncRNA from 1 species